rnacentral:sRNA from 1 species
GUUAUGGAAUAGACCUAGUGAGCCCUUCCCUUGCAUUAGUGCCACUUGCCAGGAGGCAAGGCAGCUGCCACAAGCUCUGGAGUGGGGGGUUCCUUCUUGAUUCCACACCAGUGAGGUGUCUCAGUAGCCUACUACUCUUCAGGACAGACAGAUAGAGUGGACAGUCCCUGAGAACCGUCUGGAGGAAGGAAUUCUGCAGGUGGGUGGGGAAGCCAGGCAUGUAGGGAAGUAGGUCAUGCCUCCAGACAGGCAUAAGCACUGGUAAGGUUGAAUGAGCUCAGACCUGGGAAUCUCAGUGAUUUGAGAACGGCAGGAGUGGAGCUGCUUCCGGAGGCAGGGCAGCCUAUUGAGAAGACCACAGUCAUGUGGUAGCACCUGGAGUCUUUCCCCAUGCAGAUAGAGCAUCAUUAGCAUCUCAAACUCAGCCAGUGGAAAACAUCUACCCUCGAGAUUCCAUCCCACUCCUGAAGGAUUCAAGGAUAAAGCUGUCUACAGUCAGUUGCUGGGAGUCUUCAGCUUCAAUGAGGCCAUAGACAUCCCUCCGCCUGUGUGGUUCUGAUUCUCCCUCGCCCACAUUAGCAUCAUCCCUGAGCAGUAUCUGUAAUGCUUGCUUGCAGAAGAAAACAUUUCAAUGUCUCCAAGAAAGGCUAAGAGAUAUGAUUCUGUCUAAGUGCUACAACAGUGAGUAAAUAUUCAAGACCUUAUUUCUAAAGAGAAAACAUUUGUAUCAUGGUGUUAUCGCAGGUGAGAAGGACGUAGAGUAGACCUCCCUGCGUGGGGUAGAUUUUUCUCGAGAGCAUUAACAAAUGAUGUCUACUGAUCUUUCUGGAAAAAUACAACAACUAUCUAAU